GACAGAGGUGCCGAGCGUUAGGCGGAAUCACUGGGCUUAAAGGGUGCGUAGGCGGGCUGCCAAGUUUGGGGUGAAAUCCUCCGGCUCAACCGGGGAAGUGCCUUGAAUACUGGCGGUCUCGAGGGAGGUAGGGGCGUGCGGAACUAACGGUGGAGCGGUGAAAUGCGUUGAUAUCGUUAGGAACUCCGGUGGCGAAGGCGGCACGCUAGACCUCUUCUGACGCUGAGGCACGAAAGCCAGGGGAGCGAACGGG
rnacentral:rRNA from 1 species